GGUCAAAUUAUUAAGGGCAUACGGUGGAUGCCUUGGGACCAAAGGCCGAUGAAGGACGCGGUAAGGCUGCGAUAAGCCUCGACAAGCCGUCUAACGGGCAUAGUCGGGGAUUUCCGAAUGGGGAAACCUGUUCCGGUGUUGAGCCGGUUCACCUCAACUUGUUGAGGAGGUAAGCGGGGGAACUGAAACAUCUAAGUACCCCGAGGA
rnacentral:rRNA from 1 species